rnacentral:lncRNA from 1 species
AGGGCGUUUGUUUUUUGGUUUCUUUGCUCAAAGUGCAGAGUGAUUUUUUUUUUCUUUUAAGAAAAUAAGUAUUUCAAGAGCUUUUCAUAUUGACAGUUUUUUGUUGCAUGGCAGUUGUGUUUUCUGGCUGUGGCACCAUUACUUAAGCUGAGUUUUAAUGUCUGUUGGGAUGUUUCAGAAAUGCUUAUGGAAGUACCUGGCUAGAACGUCGGAGAGAGUUUUGCUAGGUUUCACGCUUUGCAUAGCAAAGUGUAGUGGACUUAGCGUGGCAAAAAUGAGGCGUCGUCCCAGGAGCAAGCUCAGGACGAUUAGCCCUGAGCUAACAUCUGCCGCCAAUCCUCCUCUUUUUGCUGAGGACGACUGGCCCUGAGCUAACAUCCAUGCCCAUCUUCCUCUACUUUCUAUGCGGGACGCCUACCACAGCAUGGUGUGCCUAAGCGGUGCCAUGUCCGCACCUGGGAUCCAAACCUGCGAACCCCGGGCCGCCGAAGUGGAACGUGCGAACUUAACUGCUGCGCCACAGGGCCAGCCCCCUGCGUUUCUAACAAGUUCUCAGGUGAUGAGUAUGCUGCUGGGGGAGGAACCACCAGCACCUGGUUUGUAAAUCAUUUUAUUGGAACACAGCCAUGUCAGAGACUGAAUGACCUGCAAGCCUGAAAUCUUUGCUCUCUGGCCCUUUAUAGAGAAAGUGUGCUUCCCCAUAAUAUAUAUGUGAUCAGUGCUGAGCAUUUUCUAUUGAGUUCAUAUUUUAUUCUCAAGAGCUCUUUUAUAUGUUAAGACAUUGCUUAACAAAUUAGCCCACAAAAGUAUGGUAUGGGGGAAUAGAUGCCUAUUUUGAAGUGUUAGGGAGUAUAACUAACAUGACACUUCUUUUAAGUCUUUUGUUUUUUCUAAAAGUAAUCUGAAUUUUUUAUUCCAGAAGCAUCAGUGUUUGGUUUAAUAUGAAACAUUUUUCCUCCUUAAUCUUUGAAUAAAGCUGAUGCUACUAAAUAUGUUGUAUUUAAUCCUGCUUUCACUGUGUUUGAGAAAUACGCUACUGAGAUUUGCAAUUUUUGGUCAUAAGUUUCAAAUAUUUGUUCUAUGCUUUGAAUUCAAAUCGUCAAUCUUUUUCUUUCCCCUGUCUUCUCUACCCCAAGAUUUUAU